rnacentral:rRNA from 1 species
GUGUCAGCCGCCGCGGUAAGACGAGGGGUCCAAGCGUUGUUCGGAAUCAUUGGGCGUAAAGCGGGUGUAGGUGGCUUUGUAAGUCAGGAGUGAAAUCCCCGAGCUUAACUUGGGAAGUGCUUUUGAAACUGCAGAGCUUGAAUGUGGGAGAGGAUCGUGGAAUUCCAGGUGUAGUGGUGAAAUACGUAGAUAUCUGGAGGAACACCGGUGGCGAAGGCGGCGAUCUGGCCCAACAUUGACACUGAGACCCGAAAGCGUGGGGAUCAAACAGGAUUAGAAACCCCCGUAGUCC